AGAAAAAGAGGAAGAUUGGCAACAGAUGUUAGUUCAAGGCCAAUCUUCCUCACAAGAAAAUAAAAGGAAGAACAGGGCAGGCUUGUUGCUUCCCAUGGUGUACAUAGGCUACAUUCUGGUGUCUGUGUAGGUCGAAUACUUAUCUUUUCAUCAGGGACCUUUUUGGGAAAUUCUGAGGAUCUGUUUAAUGGUUCAUCGAAUGCUUUGCUGCAUUCCAAACCACUCUUGUUUUGGGUUGGGGAGGGAAAUAGCUUCUUUUCAGAAGAGCAGAACCAGAUUGGUUUGAUCUGUGGCAGCUGUUGAGACCAGUAUGGUGACACACCAGGAGACUCUGAAGGGGGCUCCCUCCCACCUGCUUCAUCCCAGGGAGGUGUUGGGAUCACAGAAGGCCUCCAGCCAAGUGUGUGCUUUAUCUUCAGCCCUGACGAGGGACUGGGCCAGAUGCUGUUUCCUUCUGUACAGGGACCUAUCCAUUUAAGCGGCAGUCACCAAAUCCAAAGGUUUAAAAAAAUAAAGAAGCAGCAGCAGCCAUUUUCAUAUCCAAUAUUCAAUAUCUACUUUAAUUAAAAUGGAUAUCUACUUAAAUUAUUUAAAGAAGGUAGCUCUUUGAUCAUGAGUGCUCAUUUCCAAAGAUUGAAGACAGCAGAACUCAGCCUCCCCACAUCCUAAUUAAAGGUGAUAGCCUGAAUUAGCAUGUAACUACUUGCUAUGUUUGUCACAUCACUAGUAAAAGUAGUUUCAAUGCUCUUGUUUUUUCUUACUUACAGAGAAUGCUCUCUCACAAGCAAAGAGCACAAGCUCUCCCUUUCCAGAAAAGGCUGGUGGAUCUUGUGAAAGUCUGGAGGAAUCCUGAGGGAUAAAAAUGGUGACAAUUAUUCAGAAACAGGGAAGGAACAACUUCAGAGUUUCCCAAGCAUUUAAAACUCUCCUUCUAAUCUUUGCUUGAAGGCUGAUUAUUUGAUAUUUGAUGUCACUCACUUAUUUCUAAAACAGCUGAAUGGCUCUUGAUAACCAGGCAGCAUUGAAAUUUGCAACUUCUUUUCUAUUGAAUUAAUAUUUGAGGAAUUAGAACAAGAGAAAAAUAGAUGAGAUUGGUUCAGAUUUUUUCUGACUCCCUUGAAAUCAUACCAACAAGGAAAUCCGUUGUAGCGUGAUGUAACCUCAUUGGAACUGUGGUUUGAAAGGAUGCUUUCAAGGGGAGAUGGAAAUUGCAAGAAGGAGUUUCUCUUUAUGCCCUUGAAAUAGUAUCCCAUGGUGAACUGAGGUUCCUGGGAUAUUACAGAAGUGCACAGAAGACUCAGGAAGAUGUUUCUGGUUGGUUGGUUUGUUUUUGUGAGGCCCUUGACAUUUUUCCCCCAAGAGGUGAAUUGUUCUUUCCCUUUCCUCUGGUAACAGGCUCUACCCACAGAGGUGUAACCACGAACCAAGUCAGAAAAAUAUCCUCUGGACAGAAUGGUUAGCACAGGAUAUGUUAUCAAAGUAGGCCCAAUUACGUUGCUCCUUAGGAAUGUUCUAAAUUGUAGUUGCUAGAGAAGUGCCCAUUUCUCUGUUAUUGUGUAGCUUAAAGAGAAUGAACCAAGAGUAGCAGAAAGCCAUGCUCCUUUUGCUUAGAGGAGCUGAAGAUUAAAAAAAGCUACAAUGCAGAGACAGAAUCGUAAUUGUAUCUGAAGCCCUAGGUCCAUAUGUCCUGAAGGCCAGCUGUCCCCUGCUCUUUCUAUAGUUUGAUAUGGGUCAAUACAGUUCUUUUUCACUUAAGCAAAUUUAGUUUUUGUCAUUUGCAACCAAAGACUCCUGACUAAAACAGUGACCUCAAAUAUAUAAGUGUUUCAUCCUCUGCUGCAUUGCUUUUGAAUUAUUUUCUCUAGCACAUCAGCUCAGAAUGCUAUAUGGUGAAAAGUGUAAUGUCUUGGUAUUUUUCUCUUGCUUCGUGUUCCUUCUGGCUGCCUCUGGAAGUGGUGCUUGGGGUAAAGGCUGAACUUGUAUAGGAAUGUUGGAUGAACAGAUACUAUAUGAAGGACAUUUUUGUGUCACUAGUGCCACAGUGAUGUAGAGGACAGAUAAACUCUCUCCCUUUAUGGAGCUUACAUUAUGGGGAGGAAGAUGGACAAAUAAACAAAAAGAAAAAGAAAAAAAAAGUCACCUACUAUGAAGCAGUCACUAUUCUAAGCACUGGAAUUGCAGUGGAAAAGAUUGACAAGGAAGCUUGGAGGUAGGUGGCUACUGGUUGGUUCAGAGGCUCAACACCAAACAAGAUGGUUGCCUCAGCUUCAGGCAUCAUAUUGUGUUUAAAACAGCAGUAAAAGGCGAGAAGGAAACACAAGAGGGAAAGAAAAAUUUCCCCAGGUAACUCCACUAAACUACUGGUUACAUUUCAUUAAUCAGAAUUGAAUAACUUGAUCACCUCUGGCUGUGGAGGAGUCUGAGGAAGAGGAUACAGCUUCCCAGACUAUAAUGAAGAUGGAAAUGGAGGAGAAGAUUCAAAAUAUGUCAACCAGCAAUAAAAAGUGACUGUCCCUUGAAUCAGUAAUGUCACUUGGGGAACAUCAGAACAGGAGCUAAUUGGGUGAGGAUCAGCUCCCAGGAUAUAGGACACUGUUGGUAAUUCAGUAGUGAAAUGUGGAAUUUGGACUAGAUUAAUGUUCCCAAAAUACAGGCUCAUGGAACAGUGGCACAUGGGUGAUUUAAAAGAACACCUCAAGCUGUACUCCUGGAUAUCUGGGGAGAUCUGACCGAAAUUUCUUUCUACCAAUCUCACUGGGAAUAUCCUUCAAUGAAAAAGGAUCCAGAACUGUCAUGUCUCUAAAAGAGAAAGGAAGACAGGAUGGGAGAGGCAGAAGAAUCUGAGAUCCAGUCAAGCCUCAGCUAUACCCAGGUGCUCCAUGGAGUGAGGUCCCAGCUUAGUAAAGCCCAGGACCUAUUCUCAAAAGAAAGACUCAAGAGCGGAGAAAGCAGAGAAGGAGCUUCCGAAGGUAGCAACAUCCCUAAGCAACUCUUAGUCCAUACAUUGAAUCAACAGUGGAAACAGAAAGUGUAGAGUGUAAAAAAGGCAUCUUUACUCUCUUUUGAAUUGUUAAGAAAUAAACUUAAAAGACAGAAAAUGGGCUGCUAUGAGCUAACGGCUAGACCUGAGUAAAAGCAAGAAUGAGAAGUGCUUUCCACAUGUCUUUGUGAGGGGAGGAACAAACUGAGCAUAUGACUUGGAGCGUCACCCUCCCCCAUCCUGCGUGACUAGAGAUGGCGCCAGAGAUGGGGAAGAUGGGAGAAAGUACAUGGCUUUCCUUUUUAAGUUCAUGCUCAGCCACAAAAUGUGAACUGAGCAGAUGGAGGGAGGGUAAGGAGAUGCAGUUUUGAUUAACAAUCAAUACCAUAAAGUUGGAAGAAGUAUUUCAUGGCACCACUGACAAAUACCAUCUUUAUUUUGCCCUCCAUGAACUAUCUUAUUACAAGAGUAGAAGCAGGGGUGAUGAAAAGAAGUGGGGAUCAUGUAAAAGAGACUUGAUGGAAAUAAGAAUAACAAAGCACUAAGCAAUUUCUUGUGACUCACAUGCAGAGAGAAAAUGUUUUCAUGAAAGAAAGCCAGAGGAGGGCCUCACGGGAAGUACUGUGAGUUUUUCUUUGGAGAUUCCAUUAUUACUUUAAUAGUUUUUUUCUGAUUACUAAAGUGAUGGAGGUCCUUUGUAUAAUAUUUAGAAAGUACAUGAAAGCACACAAAAGAAAAUAAAAAUCAUUCACUAUCUUAAAGAAAAGCAUUAUUAACAUUUUAACUCUUAGAGAUCAAAGAAUUUUUUAAAGAGGAAAACAGAAGAAAGAAGUGGCAAAAAGCUAUGAGAUCUUUGAACUCUAAAUUAGAUGGCAGAUAAUUUAGUGACAUAAAGCAUUAUCUCUAUUAAUGAAUAUAUAUUGAAAGACAUAAAUUCUUAUCAGAAACUUCAUUGCGAAAAGUAAAAAUAAUUGAAAAAGGGGAUUUUGAGAUGGUGGUCAUUUACAUCAAAAUAUUCACAUAGCUUUAUGAUCAAGUGUUGUACACAACAGAGGUCCCUGCCUCAACCCAUCCCUGAGUCUUGCUCUCUCUCCUUUAUUCUAUCCGUUAUUCUUUCUCUUUUGGGUAGUCCAAUAUUGGUGAAAGUGACACAUUGACUUAGCAUGGCUCAGGGAUAGGGUGAAUAUCAAGGAAGGAAUGAGGGUCAGUGUCAAGAAUGAUUUUUAGGUCCGAUCAAAAUGUUACAUAAAUAUUCGUCUCUGCACCCCCCCCCCCCGCCCCCCCUUGUACGUGUGGAUAUG